rnacentral:rRNA from 1 species
GACGAACGCUGGCGGCGUGCUUAACACAUGCAAGUCGAACGCUGAAGCUCAGCUUUUGUUGGGUGGAUGAGUGGCGAACGGGUGAGUAACACGUGAGUAACCUGCCCCCUUCUUUGGGAUAACGCCCGGAAACGGGUGCUAAUACUGGAUAUUCACUGGUCUUCGCAUGGGGGUUGGUGGAAAGGGUUUUUCUGGUGGGGGUUGGGCUGCCGGCCUAGCAGCUGGUUGGUGGGGUGAUGGCCUACCAAGGCUUUGACGGGUAGCCGGCCUGAGAGGGUGACCGGUCACAUUGGGACUGAGAUACGGCCCAGACUCCUACGGGAGGCAGCAGUGGGGAAUAUUGCACAAUGGGCGCAAGCCUGAUGCAGCGACGCCGCGUGAGGGAUGGAGGCCGUCGGGUUGUGAACCUCUUUCGCUCAUGGUCAAGCCGCAACAAUGGUUGUGGUGAGGGUAGUGGGUAAAGAAGCGCCGGCUAACUACGUG